rnacentral:tRNA from 1 species
GCCCCGUUCGACUUCCGGUGAGGUCGGCGGUCUUUCAAGCCGCUUAGGUCGGGUUCGACUCCCGCACGGGGUAC